rnacentral:rRNA from 1 species
GUAGGUGGCAAGCGUUGUCCGGAAUUAUUGGGCGUAAAGCGCGCGCAGGCGGUUCUUUAAGUCUGAUGUGAAAGCCCACGGCUCAACCGUGGAGGGUCAUUGGAAACUGGAGAACUUGAGUACAGAAGAGGAAAGCGGAAUUCCACGUGUAGCGGUGAAAUGCGUAGAGAUGUGGAGGAACACCAGUGGCGAAGGCGGCUUUCUGGUCUGUAACUGACGCUGAGGCGCGAAAGCGUGGGGAGCAAACAGGGAUUAGAUACCCUGGUAGUCCACGCCGUAAACGAUGAGUGCUAAGUGUUAGGGGGGUUUCCGCCCCCUUAGUGCUGCAGCUAACGCAUUAAGCACUCCGCUGGGGAUACGGCCGCAAGGUUG